AGGAUUGCUCACGUUACUUCAGCCAAUCAGAGAACUGUGCAUGAGUGGAUUGCUUAUCAUGUAGCCCCCCUCCCUCACCAGGCCUUUCAAAAUACUUUGCUGAAACCUUCUGGGGAGUUGGGGGUUUGGGGGGCAAGAAAGAAAGUGAAGUCGCUCAGUGGUGUCCGACUCUUUGCGACCCCGUGGACUGUAGCCUACCAGGCUUCUCCAUCCAUAGGAUUCUCCAGGCAAGAAUACUGGAGUGGGUUACUGUUUCCUUCUCCAGAGGAUCUUCCUGACCCAAGGAUUGAACCCAGGUCUCCUGCAUUGGAGGCAGACACUUUAACCACUGAGCCACCAGGGAGCGACCCAUUUUCCUUGCAUGGCCUGCAGUAAGCCUUUCUCUGUUCCAAACACCAACAUUUCAGUACUGUUUGGCCUCACUGUGCCAUCAGGCACAAGGACUUGGCCUUUGGGAACAAGAGAAACAGAGGCCUGAGCCCCUUUCCAGAAGAUUUCCCAGCUGAGCUGAUUGGCUGUGGCAUUAGUCCAGGUAACCAAGUACCCUUUCCACGCAGAAGCAGCAGACCCAGAGUCAUAGCCAAGCACAAGCACAUACGUCUUUCACAGAGCACUGCGCUCUCUCAGGGCCGAGUCUCACCUUGGAGGUUGAUGAUGCUCCGAAGUCACGGGGAGCUGGAGCCCAUCUCCACCGACAGCCGUCUGGCUUUUGGAUUCCAGUCACAUUCUUCACCAGCCGAAGGGAGUGCUCAAGGCCCUUCUGUCCAUGGGAUUCUCCAGGCAAGACUACUGAAGUGGAUUGCCAUGUCCUCCUCCAGGGAUCUUCCUGACCCAGGGAUCGAACCCACACCUUUUAUGUCUCCUGCAUUGACAGAGAUAUGUAGCCUCACUUGUCUGGCAUCUUAUCCAAGAAGACUUCCUUUUCUCUGGUUCCCUGUGGAAUGCAUAUUAAGCCAUUGGAGAGAGAAGAGUGGACAAAUGUGCUCUAUUACGCCAGAAAUUGCCAGGCACUACUUGUUUACAGCACCUGUAACACCAGAUAGAUGCGACCUUCUGGACAGUGGUCUUGAAGUCAGAUUUCAGCCAGUUACCAUCAUCUUGUCCCAUUCCAUCACUGGUGGCUCAGAGGGUGAAGAAUUUGCCUUCAAUGUAGGAGAUCCGAGUUGGAUCCCUGGGUCCGGAAGAUCCCCUGGAGAAGGUAAUGCCUACCCGCACCAGAAUUCUUAUCUGGAGAAUUCUAUGGACAGAGGAGCCUGGCAGGCUACAGUCCAUGUGGUUGCAAAGAGUUGGAUAUGACUGAACAACUAAUGCUUUCAUUUUGUCCCAUUCCAG
ensembl:lncRNA